UACGUAGGGCGCAAGCGUUGUCCGGAAUUAUUGGGCGUAAAGAGCUCGUAGGCGGUCUGUCACGUCUGCCGUGAAAACCCGAGGCUUAACCUCGUGGCUUGCGGUGGAUACGGGCAGACUAGAGGUAGGUAGGGGAGAACGAAUUCCCGGUGUAGCGGUGAAAAUGCGCAGAUAUCGGGAGGAACACCGGUGGCGAAGGCG
rnacentral:rRNA from 1 species